GGUCCACUGCCGGGUGGAGGGGCAAAGCGAGUGUCCUUAUCCUACCGACCGGGGCCCGGGCCUGGGAGCCAGUUGGAGUCGCGGCAGCGUGAACGAUCGGGCCGAGCGGAAGCAGACAUGUUGCUCUUCGUUGAGGUGACAUCUAAAGGCACUGGUUUAAAUCCUAAUGCCAAAGUAUGGCAAGAAAUUCCUUCUGGAAAUCCAGAUGGCACUCCUGUAACUGAACCCUCUUGGCAUGAAACUGCAGCCACAUCUGGAUCUCACCCUGAGGGCAAUACAGAACUUUCAGAAGAUAUGUGUAAGGAAUAUGAAGUAAUGUAUUCUCCAUCUUGUGAAACCACAAGAAAUACUGCAGAUGUUGAAGAGUCCGCUGAUGGGAUGAUCUUAGGACCUGAAGACCUGAGUUACCAACUAUAUGAUGCUCCUGGAGAAAGCAGCUCAGCAAUUUCUACAGAAGAUUUAAAAGAAUGUCUGAAAAAACAAUUGGAAUUCUGUUUCUCACGAGAAAAUUUAUCAAAGGACCUUUACUUGAUAUCUCAAAUGGAUAGUGAUCAGUUCGUCCCAAUAUGGACAAUUGCCAACAUGGAAGAAAUAAAAAAAUUGACUACAAAUACAGAUUUAAUUCUUGAAGUAUUGAGAUCUUCCCCUAUGGUACAAGUUGAUGAGAAGGGAGAAAAG